rnacentral:rRNA from 1 species
AAUCCAUAGGUUAAUGAGGCGAACCGGGGGAACUGAAACAUCUAAGUACCCCGAGGAAAAGAAAUCAACCGAGAUUCCCCCAGUAGCGGCGAGCGAACGGGGAGGAGCCCAGAGCCUGAAUCAGCAUGUGUGUUAGUGGAAGCGUCUGGAAAGGCGCGCGAUACAGGGUGACAGCCCCGUACACAAAAGCGCAUGUGCUGUGAGCUCGAUGAGUAGGGCGGGACACGUGGUAUCCUGUCUGAAUAUGGGGGGACCAUCCUCCAAGGCUAAAUACUCCUGACUGACCGAUAGUGAACCAGUACCGUGAGGGAAAGGCGAAAAGAACCCCGGCGAGGGGAGUGAAAAAGAACCUGAAACCGUGUACGUACAAGCAGUGGGAGCACCCUUCGGGGUGUGACUGCGUACCUUUUGUAUAAUGGGUCAGCGACUUAUAUUCUGUAGCAAGGUUAACCGAAUAGGGGAGCCGGAGGGAAACCGAGUCUUAAUUGGGCGUUAAGUUGCAGGGUAUAGACCCGAAACCCGGUGAUCUAGCCAUGGGCAGGUUGAAGGUUGGGUAACACUAACUGGAGGACCGAACCGACUAAUGUUGAAAAAUUAGCGGAUGACCUGUGGCUGGGGGUGAAAGGCCAAUCAAACCGGGAGAUAGCUGGUUCUCCCCGAAAGCUAUUUAGGUAGCGCCUCGUGAAUUCAUCUCCGGGGGUAGAGCACUGUUUCGGCUAGGGGGCCAUCCCGGCUUACCAACCCGAUGCAAACUGCGAAUACCGGAGAAUGUUAUCACGGGAGACACACGGCGGGUGCUAACGUCCGUCGUGAAGAGGGAAACAACCCAGACCGCCAGCUAAGGUCCCAAAGUCAUGGUUAAGUGGGAAACGAUGUGGGAAGGCCCAGACAGCCAGGAUGUUGGCUUAGAAGCAGCCAUCAUUUAAAGAAAGCGUAAUAGCUCACUGGUCGAGUCGGCCUGCGCGGAAGAUGUAACGGGGCUAAACCAUGCACCGAAGCUGCGGCAGCGAACGUAUCACCCAAGACAACUUUGCGGAGUUGACGAUUGACGGAGCGAAGCGACGUCAAAGCGUUCAUUAAAGUCGAGUUGGCUUAGGGAUACGUUCGUUGGGUAGGGGAGCGUUCUGUAAGCCUGUGAAGGUAUGCUGUGAGGC